CGCGUUUGCAAACGCUUUGAACUUCUGGGGCGAUGGGGAGCCCCCGCUGGAGACCCUGCGUAAGGGGGCAUUUGCAGGGGAGUGCCAUUUUCGUCCUGGCGCACUCGCUCAGGGCAACCCCCGUUGUAAGCUGGACUUGGAGGUAAUGAGGGUGGGCCAAGUUCACAGGAUGUAGGGCCCUUCCGUCACCCCGAUCACGCGUGUGGCAUCCUCUGCUUGGAACACGAAACGUGUUGCUCACAGAGUAACUCAGUUGAAACCCUGGGCUCCUACGAGGAGGGAAAUUUCCUCAGCCACUCCAGCCUUCAGCACCCUACCCUGAUCAGUCUGCAGCUGUCAACGUUGAGGAAAGACCCACCACCAGGAAAAAGAGUAUGACUGCUGAACGCUUAGAUGACAGCAGUUUUUGGCAAUAAGUUCUUUUAAAAUGAUGUACAUUUUUAAAGACAUGAUGCUACCGCACAUUUAACAGGAUACAACCUAGUGUAAAUACAACUUUUACAUGCACUGGGAAACCAAAA